AGAACAGGGUUGAGAAAGAAGAAAUAAAAGCAAUAUUGACAAAAUUAGUUAAAAACAAGAAGGCCAUGUGAAGGCACAGAAGGAAAAUUUGAUGCAGCCCUGAUAGACUUGAAAGUGGGAAAAUGAAGGAGGAGAGAGAUUGAAGAAAGAAAAGGCUAAGAGUUGGUGGAGAUUGAAGAACGCACCGCACCUUGUAUUUUAGAGAGAGAAGGUAGCCAGAGUUAAGCGAAAUACAGUUCACUUUGUAACAGGUGUGUCACUAGCAGGACACCUCUUCGUCAGUUUUGGAAAUGUAAUUAUGAUUUGAUAUCCUCAUUUGAAAAUCUCCGAAUUUCUUCAUCACCAAUCCAUCUCAUCCUCUCUAUGAAGAAGUUUGUGCAGAGGACUGUGAGAUUAUAAAAGAGAGCUCUCAAACUGAGGAUAUCAUACAAAAGAUUAAUUCUUGAGUGGGAAGCAUAGGCUUGGUUCAUUUUCUCUACCAGUUCUCUCAUCUGCUGGGUAUAAUCCCCCUUCUUUUUUGUCUACAUCAUAUGUGAGAUCUGUGGCUGAUCAUAACCUAACUAGUUCCUAUGCUUGUGUAAAUAAAUAUAUACCUAGUGAUUUUUCAUUUUUUUCAGUUUUUCUGAAUUGGAAUUUGAUUUUGAAUCCAUAUGAUCUCUUCAAGAUUUGUUCCAUGGUUUGUUUGAUUUGCAGUUUAAGGUAUUCCUAUGCUUGUGUAUAUAAAUAUAUACCUAGUGAUUUUUCAUUUUUUUCAGUUUUUCUGAAUUGGAAUUUGAUUUUGAAUCCAUAUGAUCUCUUCAAGAUCUGUUCCAUGGUUUGUUUGAUUUGCAGUUUAAGGUAGAUCUUUGAAACUGAUAGAGGAGUGGCAUUCAUCUUUGUAUUUCUUUUCCUGUUGUAAAUUUUCUGAUUUUCCUUAUAUCUCCUUUCCCUUAAUCAAUCCUUUCCAUCUAUCUAUAUCAAAACCCUAUAAUGGUUAUCUUUGGAAAUAAAAACUAUACAGUUCAUCCAUUUGCUCUUGCCGGUAUCCAGGCAUAAUGGUUUAGGAUUAGUUCUUUGAAAUUUACUUCAGAGAAAGGAGCAUUUUUGGUUUUGUUUCCUUUUCAGUUGUUAGAGGGUCUAUCCCACGGAUGUUUCAAUCUUCAAUCCUGUAAGAAAAUUACUUUAUGUUCAAUUGAGGAUGCAAAAAUUUUUAGUUUGCCUAUAUCAAUUUAGCUUGUCCUUUUCUUGAUAUCAUUUUCUUUUUCUAAAUCAAUAGCCAACCUGUUCACCAAUUCAAACAUCAUCUUUUCAAGUGAUGGUGAGGGAUUCUGGACAAGUAUCUGAAAGGACUGCUGAAACUAGUAACAAGUGAUUCAUUUUUGUGUUGCCUAUUUCCCACAGCAAGAUGCCUAUUUCUUGGUUGCUUUUAUUUCCUCUGUAUGUGUGUGAGAGAGAGAAAGAACCUACAUUUUUUUUUCCUUUUCCAAAUUUUAUUUGCUAAUCAAUUAGCUUCAUUAAUUAUUAUGCAUGCAACUACGAUUUUAUCACACAACCCUCAGACACAUGAACGUAUUGUCAACUAAAUAUACUAUAAACCAACAAAAGCUCCAUGCAAGUUUUCGACUUUCAACAAUUACAAAGUUGAUAAAACUUGGAGUUCAUAAUAAAUGUAUCUAUUAUUUCAUAAUCUUGGUUGUAUCUAUUUGUGCACACAAAUUACUAUUAUUUUCUAUGGUCCUUGUAGAAUUGAAUUUGUUUCCAAACUAGGAAUUGUGGUUCAGGUCAGCAAGUCAAUCGAACUGUAUAUUCCUGAUCACCAUAUAACAACCAUUGAAAUAUGGAAGGUGAUGAAGGCAGGCAAGGUUCUAGUCCUCAUAAUCUGUCAUUGAAGAAAAGACCACCUGAUGGUGGUUUAAGCUCAUCAAACGAAAUGCAGGAAGAAUCCAUGUCUAGUUCUUCUUUCAACAGUGCCACACCUGGGGUUCAGAGGAUGGAAGCAUCUAUUAUGAUUGCAGGUCCAAUUUCAGCUGCAGGGACUGGAGAAGUCCUUGAGAGAAGAAUUAGACAAAGAUCAGCCAACCCCGACCGAGAGAAUUUGAUAUCUGCUGCACCCAUUGCUCCUGAGUUGAGAGAGCAGCACUCUGGCUGAUUGAACACUGAGCAAGGAGAGCAGCAGUACAAUCACUCCUUGCAAUUUCAUGGUUCUCACUGGCAGAGGGACAUAACCCGCAAUCCAGGUCGGAUUGUCAUAAUCCCAGACACAGCCCUGGGAGGUGAUGUUCCACAAGUUGAUGAUCCUUGGAUCAGAAGUAGCCUAAUAUCUGAGGUUUGGUAGCAUAUCUUAAGUUCUACUGCUUUCUAUUAUCUUGUCUACAUUGGAGCUCCAUUCCCCGUCAAACUAAUUGAUCAUUCUUCAGUGAUACUGAAUUUGAUUAAAUUUUUGACAAUUUACCCAUUAAUCCGGAGAUGAAUUCAGUUCAGUUUAUGUAUCAAACAUUUUUUCCUUUAGUUUUUUCAUUCCUCCUUUUUCUUUAUUGUCAUAUCUUAACUUAGACAUCCAUAAAACUCUUAUAUGAAAAAACCUUCUCUUUUUCUUCAGGCCAUGGACUUCAAGAGUUCUCUUUAGAUCUUUCCAUUUCUUGUAGAGUUACACGCUGAUCUUCCAAAUUAGAGACUGAACAUCUUGGGAUUAAUGUUUUGAUCUAUUUUUCCAGUAGUACUGUUGAAAAUUUCCUUUGAAAUGCGCUUAUAUAUAUCACUCCUUUCUCUUUUCAUUCACCAGUUUUUCUUUAUUAGUUCACUGGGAUCUUACAGUGUAGUUGCAUCUUUUGCUUACAUGAAUUUGUCCAGAGUCCUAUUAGGAUUCCAGGGCACUGGUGGUCAUUUGGUAUGAUUUACCAGCCUGAGGAUGAAAUGCGCCUUGACAUCAAUAACAUGUCAUAUGAGGUAACUCUACUCAAUAUUUCCAAGAAACCAAAAAAAAAAAAAAAAAUCAACUGUGCAUUAGAUUUCCUGUUGUUAUCUUGAGAAAUACUAACAAUUUUGGGCUGAGGAAUUGCUUGCACUUGGAGAGCGCAUUGGAAGUGUGAGCACAGGGCUCAGUGAGGAAGUAAUUAUGGCUAAGAUGGAGAAAUGGAAGUAUAGCUGCUCAACAACAGGGCAUUCAGUUGAUGCAGAGACUUGCUGCAUAUGUCUGGAGGAGUAUGCAGAUGAUGAUGAUGUUGGAAAGCUAGACUGUGGGCAUGAGUAUCAUGUUGCCUGCAUCAAGGAAUGGUUGGUACAGAAGAACUCAUGCCCCAUUUGCAAGAAUACUGCCUUGGCUACCUGAGAGUGUAGUCCUCAUCAGGAAUGGUUGCCUUGGCUCACAUCAGUCAUAUGCCUUGUUCAUGGACAAGAAGCAGCCUCAACUUCCUUUGUGAUAAUGUAUUCAGAGAAUGUUUUCAAGCUGGAGCAAUACUGUUAAAUAUGUACUGUACGUGAGCUUUCAUGUGGAGGUUGCUUUUUCGCAUUUUUCAUAUUUGGCAUUUUUAUUCAGAGAAUCUUUAAGGUCUCUUUUAUCUUUAAUCUAGCUAAUUUAUGAUUUUGCUAGUUGGUAAAGAUCUCCAUGCAUUAGGCUCUCUUUUUUCUCCUAUAUUGAACCCAAUGUUGUUCCUAUGUCAAACACCUAAUUUAUGAUGUUUUGCUCAUUUUAGUUUUGUAAUAUUCCAAAAAUUUUACUCUUGAUUUACUUGAUUGUAGCUACUUUGUAGCGUUGUUUUUAUACAAUCUAGAAAUUAAAUCUUGAAUAUUUAAUGGC